UACGUAGGGUGCAAGCGUUAAUCGGAAUUACUGGGCGUAAAGCGUGCGCAGGCGGUUUUGGAAGUCUGUCGUGAAAUCCCCGGGCUUAACCUGGGAAUGGCGAUGGAGACUGCAAGGCUAGAGUUUGGCAGAGGGGGGUAGAAUUCCACGUGUAGCAGUGAAAUGCGUAGAGAUGUGGAGGAACACCGAUGGCGAAGGCAGCCCCCUGGGUCAAAACUGACGCUCAUGCACGAAAGCGUGGGGAGCAAACAGG
rnacentral:rRNA from 1 species